rnacentral:tRNA from 1 species
GCCCCCGUAGCUCAGGGGAUAGAGCAGAGGUUUCCUAAACCUUGUGCAUAGGUUCAAGUCCUAUCGGGGGCG